GACAGAGAUGCUCUACUACCUCUAGACGCUUUGCCAUGUAAUUGGCAUUCAAAAUUGCAAUCUUGGAGGCAUCAGUGAGUCCACCAGAUCCCAUCAUGGCAAUGUAAGUAUAAGAUAUUGGCAAGAUAAGCGCAGAUCCCCAUGGUGCAGCGGCUAUUGUACCCAACGGUUCUGUCUUCUCGGGUUGUGGGAAACCACCAGUAGAUAUCUUUUUACAUGGCAAUGGAGGAAACCCAACAAUAAGGAAUUUAAUGAUCAUUAACCAAGAUGCAUUACAGUGAUGAAGGAUCAAAGACUAACCACGGGGUGAGAAGGAAGAAAUGGUGCCAAAUGUUUCUUCACACCAAUGGGACCCAUACCAGGACCACCACCUCCAUGAGGAAUACAGAAGGUCUUGUGGAGAUUGAGAUGACACACAUCGGCUCCAAUAAAACCGGGACUUGUCAAGCCAACCUACACAAACCCAACACCAUGCUCUUUCAAAUAAGACAAAACCUUGAGAUCUCACCUGUGUUUACUGUUUUAUUAAGAUAUUUCACCUGUGCAUUCAUGUUGGCACCAUCCAUGUACACUUGACCUCCAAAUUCGUGUAUUAUGUUGCAAAUCUCGUCGAUACCCUCUUCAUAGACUCCAUGAGUUGAAGGGUAUGUAACCAUAAGAGCGGCUAAGUUGUCUUUGUUGGCUUCUGCAGCUUUUCUCACCUCCUCAAUGUUGAUGUUUCCCUUAGCAUCAGUUCCAACCGUAAUAAUUUUCAUCCCGGUCAUAGCAGCACUUGCAGGGUUUGUACCGUGUGCAGAGACAGGUAUGAUACACACAUUACGGUGAUGAUCUCCUCUUGACUGAAUAAUGCAUUCAUUCAUUCACUUUUCAGUUUAUAUCAAUUAAACGAAAAUAAAGGUAAGAAAACUAGAUUCAAAUUUAGGAUAUAAGGUUUACCAUGUGAUAUGCGCGGAUAACCAUAAGCCCGGUAUACUCACCAGCAGCACCAGCAUUAGGUUGCAAUGAGAAAGAGUCAAAGCCAGUGAUUGUACAUAAGAGAUCACCCAAAUUUUCGAACAUUUCCUAUAUAAAUGUAGAAAAGAAAAGAAAUCAGUUCAUCUUUUCAAUUUCAUAGAUCAAACCUCAGAUGAAUCAAGAAAGUGACUCACGUGAUAUCCUUGUGCUUGUUCAACAGGAGCAAAAG
rnacentral:lncRNA from 1 species